GCCAGUGUGGCAUAGUGGUUUGAGUGUUGGACAAUGACUCUGGAAAUUAGGGUUUGAAUCCCUGCUCAGCCA